CCUACGGGGUGCAGCAGUGAGGAAUAUUGGUCAAUGGGCGCGAGCCUGAACCAGCCAAGUAGCGUGAAGGAUGACUGCCCUAAGGGUUGUAAACUUCUUUUAUAAAGGAAUAAAGUGAGGCACGUGUGCCUUUUUGUAUGUACUUUAUGAAUAAGGAUCGGCUAACUCCGUGCCAGCAGCCGCGGUAAUACGGAGGAUACGAGCGUUAUCCGGAUUUAUUGGGUUUAAAGGGAGCGUAGAUGGGUUGUUAAGUCAGUUGUGAAAGUUUGCGGCUCAACCGUAAAAUUGCAAGUGAUACUCGCAGCCUUGAGUACAGUUGAGGUAGGCGGAAUUCGUGGUGUAGCGGUGAAAUGCUUAGAUAUCACGAAGAACUCCGAUUGCGAAGGCAGCUUACUAAACUGCCACUGACAUUGAUGCUCGAAAGUGUGGGUAUCAAACAGGAUUAGAUACCCCGGUAGUC
rnacentral:rRNA from 1 species